AGCAUAUGUUGCUGGCAACCGAAACUGUUUGAUAUCGGCAUUUCCAAUGGGUUAAACACUUGCUGGAAGCUCGAGUCCAGACAUAGAAUUGAGUUGCAGCUUAUGACCAAGAGAUUGGAGUAAGGCCGAGAGAGCAAAGUUUGCUGGCCUAACACUUACCAUGGGGGAGAUGUUGAUUGGAGAAAAAAGAGGGAUUCCUUCCGACCAACCUCCAAAGUGCGAAAAUGAAAAAGAAGAAAGAAAAGGGAGCACCAAGAGUGGGAGGGGGCAAAUUUCUCUCCAUUGAGCUGAAGGUGAUGGAAUGAUUUUCCUCGAAGCAAACCUCAAAGGUGCUUAUAAAAAAAGAAAAGAAAAGAAAAAGAAACAUAUGGGGGCACCAAGACGGUGAGCUGAAGGUACACAUAAAUGCUUUAUAUUCUCCCUGCUGCCAAGGUGUAUGCCUAGCUCUGUCUUCAAACACUGCUUUAUAGUGCUCAGAUGAGGCCUUCAAGUGUAUUUUCAUACUGAGGAAAAUUGCUGGCCAAUGAAGCUCAACCAAGAGGUUGUGAAGAAACAGAGCUUCCAACGUUUCAUCUUGGUGAUGAAGCCUUGAAGCCCAUGUCCUCUUGAAUAGCCUAUUCUCACGUCCUUAAUUUGUUAACUUGAACGUGCUCAUCUUCUUUGGGCAUCCCACGUGAGCCAAGAGUCGUCCUACAUUAAGAGAUGGAUUGUGCGCUGUGGAUUGUUCAACAAAGGAGAUGAAU